rnacentral:rRNA from 1 species
UACGUAGGGGGCAAGCGUUGUCCGGAUUUAUUGGGCGUAAAGAGCUUGUAGGCGGUCUGUCGCGUCUGCUGUGAAAAUCCGGGGCUCAACCCCGGACUUGCAGUGGGUACGGGCAGACUAGAGUGUGGUAGGGGAGACUGGAAUUCCUGGUGUAGCGGUGAAAUGCGCAGAUAUCAGGAGGAACACCAAUGGCGAAGGCAGCACUCUGGGACGUGACUGACGCUGAGACGCGAAAGCGUGGGGAGCAAACAGG